AUUGAACGCUGGCGGCAUGCUUUACACAUGCAAGUCGAACGGCAGCGCGGGCUUCGGCCUGGCGGCGAGUGGCGAACGGGUGAGUAAUGCAUCGGAACGUGCCCAGUAGUGGGGGAUAGCCCGGCGAAAGCCGGAUUAAUACCGCAUACGACCUGAGGGUGAAAGCGGGGGACCGAAAGGCCUCGCGCUAUUGGAGCGGCCGGUGUCGGAUUAGCUAGUUGGUGGGGUAAAGGCUUACCAAGGCGACGAUCCGUAGCUGGUCUGAGAGGACGACCAGCCACACUGGGACUGAGACACGGCCCAGACUCCUACGGGAGGCAGCAGUGGGGAAUUUUGGACAAUGGGGGCAACCCUGAUCCAGCCAUGCCGCGUGCGGGAAGAAGGCCUUCGGGUUGUAAACCGCUUUUGUUCGGGAAGAAAUACUCUGGGCUAAUACCCCGGGGGGAUGACGGUACCGGAAGAAUAAGCACCGGCUAACUACGUG
rnacentral:rRNA from 1 species